rnacentral:rRNA from 1 species
GGGUCAGUAGGUUGGUCGUGCCACCGGUACGUACUGGUCUCACUGAUUCCUCCUUCCUGAAGAACCGUAAUGCCAUUAAUUUGGUGUUGCGGGGAAACAGGACUGUUACUUUUAAAAAAUUAGAGUGUUUAAAGCAAGCUAACGCUUGAAUACAUUAGCAUGGAAUAAUGAAAAAGGAAGAUCGAUCCUAUUUUGUUGGUUUCUAGGAUUGGCGUAAUGAUUAAUAGGGAUAGUUUUG